rnacentral:ncRNA from 1 species
AAGGUGGCUUAUGCAACAGCUAUGGAUUGGUUCAUUGCCGUGUGCUAUGCCUUU